AUGACAUUUAAUGGCCAAAUUGAUUAUCAAUUCAUUUUUAAUUGAAUUCCACUUUGAGAAGCCCACUAUAUAAAUAACUUGUAGGAAUUCUUUAUGAAGUUUUCGCAUAUCAGAUGCUUGAACGAGAAGUUAUUUUGAAUUUGAUAUCUAUCUUUUUGUCUAGAUAACCAUCAGACGUGAUCUUGGGAGAAUUUAUAAGAACUGUAUUAACGCCUUCUUCAAGUAUGAGAUAUAUUUGUAUAUCUAAAUCCACAACAGUUUGGUGCGCGAGGACUUCUUAUUAAUUCAAGUUUCCUUGUCUGACUCAAACACUUAAUUGCGGUCUUAUAAAUAGCUGGUUAUCUUGGCAUAUUUCUUCAUCGUUGAUCAACCAUUCUUCGUUUCUUGCACCUAAACUGAUUUGUAGGUACUGUAGAAAUUGGUGGUGGUGCUAUUCGGCCGGCGUCAGUUUCGAUCACAAAAGCUGCUCGCAUAUCGUCGUUUUUCUUCAUUCAAGCAACACUUUAUUAUUCUUUGAUUUUGAAUUUCUGAGACGUAAAGGGAAGCUUGAGACAAACCUUGGUUUUCUUUAAUUUCACUUCUUGGCAUUUGAGGUAAGCUACCCUUGAUUUUUUUUCGUAGGAAUUGGGGACUUUGCACGCGUCGAUCUUGGAUUUGGAGUUUUUUGCACCCAUCAAUCAAGGAGCUUUUGCUUGGCAUUUUUGGAGCUUUGCACCCAUCAAUCCCGGAGCUUUGCUUAGCAUCUUUGGAGCUUUGCAUCCAUCAAUCCAGGAGUUUUUGCUUGGCGCUUUUGGAGACUUUGCAUCCAUCAAUCAAGGAGUUUAACUUGCACUUUAGACGGCUCAAUUGGCUUUUAUUCAGAUUCUGGGUGCGCUCGGAUCUGGGCCAUUGCGAGUUCGACCUUUAAAGAUUGCUAGUUACAUCUUCUCCUUGCUUGCUUCUGCAACUUCAACUCUUCAUCGAUGCCAUUCAAUCAAGGAGUUUUGCUUGGAUACAAUUUUCUUCUUGGAAGCGUGGAUAUUUUGCUCUUUAAGGAUUUUUUGCUAACGUUUCUCGAGAGUCUUCUUCAUCUACUGAUCAGAGUUGUUUACCUUACGCUUUUAGGUGGCUCUCAAUUGGCUUUUAUUCAGAUUCUAGGUGCGCUCGGAUCUGGGCCAUUGUGAGUCUUGCCUUUAAAGAUUGCUAGAGUCUAGUUCAAGGAGUUGUUACUUUUGGUGAGCGUGUGCUUCUACUCCACUAUAAAGCUCGAAGCUCAGCGCAUACUUUGGAAGCAAGGCGAAACCCUCCACCUCGGCGUAUACUUUGGAAGCAAGGCGUAGCCCUCCACACCGACAUAUACUUGAGAAGCAAGACGAAGGUUUGCAUUAACAUUAUAAAGUCCAAAGUUUAAGUCAGAUCCAACAUUCGAACAAAGUGAAGACCCUUCACGUCAACGUCAUGAAACUCAAAGAUCGAGUCCAAGAAUCAACUUGAAUAUUGGAGAGAGCCAUUUCAAAGUGUGUUGAAAAUAUGUGGAGACGCGGAAUUUAAAUUUGAUGAAGAAUGCUUUGAAGGUUUGGGCUCGUUUUAUUGAAGUUUUGUCAACUAUUGACUCUCUUAUUGUUUUGUUUUUUCACUCAUCUUCUUUCAUUGUUUCUUUUGGACUAAUGCACCAUUUGACUUCAAUCA